rnacentral:rRNA from 1 species
UACGUAGGGUGCGAGCGUUAAUCGGAAUUACUGGGCGUAAAGCGUGCGCAGGCGGUGAUGUAAGACCGAUGUGAAAUCCCCGGGCUUAACCUGGGAACUGCAUUGGUGACUGCAUUGCUGGAGUAUGGCAGAGGGGGGUGGAAUUCCACGUGUAGCAGUGAAAUGCGUAGAGAUGUGGAGGAACACCGAUGGCGAAGGCAGCCCCCUGGGCCAAUACUGACGCUCAUGCACGAAAGCGUGGGGAUCAAACAGG